AGAGAGAGUGAUGAGAGAGAGACAGGGAGAGUUGGGGAUAGUGGGUAAAGAUGUAUUUGAUAUAUUUAGAAUUUGGGGAAUGGGCUAGGGAUCAAACUCAGGACUAGUGCAUGUUUGGCAAGUGUUUUACUACUUAGCUACACCUCAGCCUUUGGUUGUUUUGAGACAAGGCCCAGUGGUGUGGCUCAGUCUGGAUUCACAUUCUUGAUCCUCCUGCAUCUGCUUCCUGAGUGCUAGCAUUACAGGUGCAUACCACCCUGGCUGCAUAUGAUUCACUUAAAAGCAAGUUUUU